rnacentral:rRNA from 1 species
GGAGUGAAAUAGAACCUGAAACCGUGUGCUUACAAGUAGUCAGAGCCCGUUAAUGGGUGAUGGCGUGCCUUUUGUAGAAUGAACCGGCGAGUUACGAUUUGAUGCAAGGUUAAGCAGUAAAUGUGGAGCCGUAGCGAAAGCGAGUCUGAAUAGGGCGUUUAGUAUUUGGUCGUAGACCCGAAACCAGGUGAUCUACCCUUGGUCAGGUUGAAGUUCAGGUAACACUGAAUGGAGGACCGAACCGACUUACGUUGAAAAGUGAGCGGAUGAACUGAGGGUAGCGGAGAAAUUCCAAUCGAACCUGGAGAUAGCUGGUUCUCUCCGAAAUAGCUUUAGGGCUAGCCUCAAGUGAUGAUUAUUGGAGGUAGAGCACUGUUUGGACGAGGGGCCCCUCUCGGGUUACCGAAUUCAGACAAACUCCGAAUGCCAAUUAAUUUAACUUGGGAGUCAGAACAUGGGUGAUAAGGUCCGUGUUCGAAAGGGAAACAGCCCAGACCACCAGCUAAGGUCCCAAAAUAUAUGUUAAGUGGAAAAGGAUGUGGCGUUGCCCAGACAACUAGGAUGUUGGCUUAGAAGCAGCCAUCAUUUAAAGAGUGCGUAAUAGCUCACUAGUCGAGUGACACUGCGCCGAAAAUGUACCGGGGCUAAACAUAUUACCGAAGCUGUGGAUUGUCCUUUGGACAAUGGUAGGAGAGCGUUCUAAGGGCGUUGAAGCAUGAUCGUAAGGACAUGUGGAGCGCUUAGAAGUGAGAAUGCCGGUGUGAGUAGCGAAAGACGGGUGAGAAUCCCGUCCACCGAUUGACUAAGGUUUCCAGAGGAAGGCUCGUCCGCUCUGGGUUAGUCGGGUCCUAAGCUGAGGCCGACAGGCGUAGGCGAUGGAUAACAGGUUGAUAUUCCUGUACCACCUAUAAUCGUUUUAAUCGAUGGGGGGACGCAGUAGGAUAGGCGAAGCGUGCGAUUGGAUUGCACGUCUAAGCAGUAAGGCUGAGUAUUAGGCAAAUCCGGUACUCAUUAAGGCUGAGCUGUGAUGGGGAGAAGACAUUGUGUCUUCGAGUCGUUGAUUUCACACUGCCGAGAAAAGCCUCUAGAUAGAAAAUAGGUGCCCGUACCGCAAACCGACACAGGUAGUCAAGAUGAGAAUUCUAAGGUGAGCGAGCGAACUCUCGUUAAGGAACUCGGCAAAAUGACCCCGUAACUUCGGGAGAAGGGGUGCUCUUUAGGGUUAACGCCCAGAAGAGCCGCAGUGAAUAGGCCCAAGCGACUGUUUAUCAAAAACACAGGUCUCUGCUAAACCGUAAGGUGAUGUAUAGGGGCUGACGCCUGCCCGGUGCUGGAAGGUUAAGAGGAGUGGUUAGCUUCUGCGAAGCUACGAAUCGAAGCCCCAGUAAACGGCGGCCGUAACUAUAACGGUCCUAAGGUAGCGAAAUUCCUUGUCGGGUAAGUUCCGACCCGCACGAAAGGCGUAACGAUUUGGGCACUGUCUCAACGAGAGACUCGGUGAAAUCAUAGUACCUGUGAAGAUGCAGGUUACCCGCGACAGGACGGAAAGACCCCGUGGAGCUUUACUGUAGCCUGAUAUUGAAAUUCGGCACAGCUUGUACAGGAUAGGUAGGAGCCUUUGAAACGUGAGCGCUAGCUUACGUGGAGGCGCUGGUGGGAUACUACCCUAGCUGUGUUGGCUUUCUAACCCGCACCACUUAUCGUGGUGGGAGACAGUGUCAGGCGGGCAGUUUGACUGGGGCGGUCGCCUCCUAAAAGGUAACGGAGGCGCUCAAAGGUUCCCUCAGAAUGGUUGGAAAUCAUUCAUAGAGUGUAAAGGCAUAAGGGAGCUUGACUGCGAGACCUACAAGUCGAGCAGGGUCGAAAGACGGACUUAGUGAUCCGGUGGUUCCGCAUGGAAGGGCCAUCGCUCAACGGAUAAAAGCUACCCCGGGGAUAACAGGCUUAUCUCCCCCAAGAGUUCACAUCGACGGGGAGGUUUGGCACCUCGAUGUCGGCUCAUCGCAUCCUGGGGCUGUAGUCGGUCCCAAGGGUUGGGCUGUUCGCCCAUUAAAGCGGUACGCGAGCUGGGUUCAGAACGUCGUGAGACAGUUCGGUCCCUAUCCGUCGUGGGCGUAGGAAAUUUGAGAGGAGCUGUCCUUAGUACGAGAGGACCGGGAUGGACAUACCUCUGGUGUACCAGUUGUCGUGCCAACGGCAUAGCUGGGUAGCUAUGUGUGGACGGGAUAAGUGCUGAAAGCAUCUAAGCAUGAAGCCCCCCUCAAGAUGAGAUUUCCCAACUUCGGUUAUAAGAUCCCUCAAAGAUGAUGAGGUUAAUAGGUUCGAGGUGGAAGCAUGGUGACAUGUGGAGCUGACGAAUACUAA